GUGGCCUUAGCUUAAGUGGCAAAGCCCCAGGUUGUGACCUUGAAGUUACGGAUUCGAUCUCCGUAGGUCACC
rnacentral:tRNA from 1 species